ACAUUUAACCUCACACAGACAAUUCAAGAAUCAUUUCACAAUAUAUAUUGUAAUACACAGAACAGUGAACCAUCUAAAAAGGUUUCAAUCUUCUUCAAUCCCUCUUCAAUUCAAUAAUUCUCGAAAUCAAUCGUGCCGAUUGAUCGUAUUCUUCCACUCGAAAAGAAAUUUAUUUCGAAUGGUAAUAAUUAAAGUCUCGUUGAGGAACCGCGGCAGGUUCGAUAUUAUACAAAUAUUUAAUACACUUUCGAAAGCUGUAUUAAGGAAUUUCAGAAGCUUGUUCUCAAGAAGAACCAUCCUGAUUUUCAGACUGGUAACGUCACGUAACGAAUCUCGAAAUGGGAAAAGGGCCAGAGGAUUCGUGGUUGAAGGGUGUCGCAGCUCUCACGGCUUUCCGACGGCUGUCGUAGCGAAAGGGUUACAUGAAAACUCCUCGUCUCGACGACAAAGGGGGUCUUAUCUCGAAUUUCUAAAGUCCUACCUUCCUGUCUCUCGCAACGCUCGACGUUCCUUCACCCCUUAGCUACCUCGGCCCUUUUCAUCCCCGCGCCAACCUUUCACGGGAGGAUUCCUCGCUUGAGAUAUCGUUCGUUAUUAGCGGUGUUUCAUACGGUACAGCGGUGUAUCCUGAUAUUUUUUUCCCUCCUUUCUCACAGACGUAUGUGUUUUUUAAAGGAUCACAACGUGAAGAAGAACGGCACCGACGAGUGCGAAACGCCAGGGGAGUUCGCGAUGCAAGAAAAAAUCGCUUGGGGUGAAGAUGCUGGUUAAUGAGUUCGAAUGUGAAAUUCCACGGGACGGUUCGGUGAAAGUCAGUGUGACUUGAUGGGCCGCCUACGUGUCCGGGGAGAGAAAAGAACCUUAGAUCCAGGACUCAGCGGUAGGAGGCCAGAAGAACGAAGAAAAAGAGAGAAGAAGGAAAGUGCAAACGGCCUAAGGGGGCCGCCGCUUUGCAUAAUCAAAUCCUGCGAUGAUGUAGCAGAAUGCGAAGUACCCCGUCGUCACGGGUGCGCCGAAAAAGGGGCUGAGAAUCCCGCGGGCACGCGAGUACUUCGAAAAAUGCAGCCUCGUGUUCCCUUCGCAGCCUUCGUUGCCUUUCGGCUCGGUCAUAAGACCGCAGCACCCCUUACCAGACAUCUAGCCCUUGCAGAAUUCCCGGAGUAACCCGGAAACAUCUACUCGUUUUGCGACAGAGACACCACGAAUUCUUGUUCCGCAGGGCUGACGUGAAAAGAAUGAAACUGAUGGUGGAGGAAGCAUGGCGAAGUUGAGGAACUAAGUCUGGGUUUAACGAAGAGUGAUGUUAGGUGUCUUGUAAGUUGUGCGAUGGGGUAUGUCGGUGAAUUUUAUGCUUUAUAUUUCCUUUGAAAUACCAUGCAAAAUAGUUGUAGCUACCAAAUUUUGAAUUUGAGAUAUAUUGUUGAAAUAUAUUGUCAUUUUGAAAUAAUUACGUAUUUUAUCCAGAAAUUUGAAGCGGAAGCUUUAAUUUAGAAUUAUGUAAUUUUAAUACUUCAGAUCUUCAUUUCUAAAAAAGUAAUGUUCAAUUUGAGGAAAAUUAAAUUAAGGAAGAAUUUUAUAUUUCAUA